rnacentral:rRNA from 1 species
UACGUAGGGUGCAAGCGUUGUCCGGAAUUAUUGGGCGUAAAGAGCUUGUAGGCGGUCUGUCGCGUCUGCUGUGAAAAUCCGGGGCUCAACCCCGGACUUGCAGUGGGUACGGGCAGACUAGAGUGUGGUAGGGGAGACUGGAAUUCCUGGUGUAGCGGUGAAAUGCGCAGAUAUCAGGAGGAUCACCGAUGGCGAAGGCAGGUCUCUGGGCCAGCUACUGACGCUGAGAAGCGAAAGCAUGGGGAGCGAACAGG